CUCGCUGUGAAGAUGCAGUGUACCCGCGGCAAGACGGAAAGACCCCGUGAACCUUUACUAUAGCUUGACACUGAACAUUGAGCCUUGAUGUGUAGGAUAGGUGGGAGGCUUUGAAGUGUGGACGCCAGUCUGCAUGGAGCCGACCUUGAAAUACCACCCUUUAAUGUUUGAUGUUCUAACGUUGGCCCGUAAUCCGGGUUGCGGACAGUGUCUGGUGGGUAGUUUGACUGGGGCGGUCUCCUCCUAAAGAGUAACGGAGGAGCACGAAGGUUGGCUAAUCCUGGUCGGACAUCAGGAGGUUAGUGCAAUGGCAUAAGCCAGCUUGACUGCGAGCGUGACGGCGCGAGCAGGUGCGAAAGCAGGUCAUAGUGAUCCGGUGGUUCUGAAUGGAAGGGCCAUCGCUCAACGGAUAAAAGGUACUCCGGGGAUAACAGGCUGAUACCGCCCAAGAGUUCAUAUCGACGGCGGUGUUUGGCACCUCGAUGUCGGCUCAUCACAUCCUGGGGCUGAAGUAGGUCCCAAGGGUAUGGCUGUUCGCCAUUUAAAGUGGUACGCGAGCUGGGUUUAGAACGUCGUGAGACAGUUCGGUCCCUAUCUGCCGUGGGCGCUGGAGAACUGAGGGGGGCUGCUCCUAGUACGAGAGGACCGGAGUGGACGCAUCACUGGUGUUCGGGUUGUCAUGCCAAUGGCACUGCCCGGUAGCUAAAUGCGGAAGAGAUAAGUGCUGAAAGCAUCUAAGCACGAAACUUGC
rnacentral:rRNA from 1 species